GGCAACGAUGCGUAGCCGACCUGAGAGGGUGAUCGGCCACACUGGGACUGAGACACGGCCCAGACUCCUACGGGAGGCAGCAGUAGGGAAUCUUCCGCAAUGGACGAAAGUCUGACGGAGCAACGCCGCGUGAGUGAUGAAGGCUUUCGGGUCGUAAAACUCUGUUGUUAGGGAAGAACAAGUGCUAGUUGAAUAAGCUGGCACCUUGACGGUACCUAACCAGAAAGCCACGGCUAACUACGUGCCAGCAGCCGCGGUAAUACGUAGGUGGCAAGCGUUAUCCGGAAUUAUUGGGCGUAAAGCGCGCGCAGGUGGUUUCUUAAGUCUGAUGUGAAAGCCCACGGCUCAACCGUGGAGGGUCAUUGGAAACUGGGAGACUUGAGUGCAGAAGAGGAAAGUGGAAUUCCAUGUGUAGCGGUGA
rnacentral:rRNA from 14 species